GACGAACGCUGGCGGCGUGCUUAACACAUGCAAGUCGAACGGAAAGGCUCCUGCUUGCUGGGGUGCUCGAGUGGCGAACGGGUGAGUAACACGUGGGCGAUCUGCCCUGCACUUUGGGAUAAGCCUAGGAAACUGGGUCUAAUACCGGAUAGGACCUCAUUCUGGAUGGUGGGGUUGAAAGUUUUUCGGUGUGGGAUGAUCUCGCGGCCUAUCAGCUUGUUGGUGGGGUAGUGGCCUACCAAGGCGUCGACGGGUAGCCGGCCUGAGAGGGUGUCCGGCCACAUUGGGACUGAGAUACGGCCCAGACUCCUACGGGAGGCAGCAGUGGGGAAUAUUGCACAAUGGGCGGAAGCCUGAUGCAGCAACGCCGCGUGGGGGAUGACGGCCUUCGGGUUGUAAACUGCUUUCGCUUGGGACGAAGCGCGAGUGACGGUAACGGGUAAAGAAGCACCGGCUAACUACGUG
rnacentral:rRNA from 1 species